rnacentral:rRNA from 1 species
AACGAACGCUGGCGGCAUGCCUAACACAUGCAAGUCGAACGAGACCUUCGGGUCUAGUGGCGCACGGGUGCGUAACGCGUGGGAAUCUGCCCUUGGGUUCGGAAUAACAGUUAGAAAUGACUGCUGAUACCGGAUGAUGUCGUAAGACCAAAGAUUUAUCGCCCAAGGAUGAGCCCGCGUAGGAUUAGCUAGUUGGUGGGGUAAAGGCCUACCAAGGCGACGAUCCUUAGCUGGUCUGAGAGGAUGAUCAGCCACACUGGGACUGAGACACGGCCCAGACUCCUACGGGAGGCAGCAGUGGGGAAUAUUGGACAAUGGGCGAAAGCCUGAUCCAGCAAUGCCGCGUGAGUGAUGAAGGCCCUAGGGUUGUAAAGCUCUUUUACCCGGGAUGAUAAUGACAGUACCGGGAGAAUAAGCCCCGGCUAACUCCGUGCCAGCCGCCGCGGUAAUAC